CUUAGUUAAGAACUUAGAUAUACUGUAGAUCUUGUCUUCCAAAUGUUUAUUGUCAAAUUUUGGCUAGUAGAAGGAUUUUGACAUUCCUAGUUUUCCACAUUGCUAACCUACAUUGCUCUUGUAACCUUUAUGAUGUAUUUUCCAUCUUGACAUGAAUCUUACAAGUAUACUUUUUGUGAUGAGGUGCAGUCAUAUCAAUUACUAAUGAUGGUUAGCAGUGUGAACUAUCCCCUUAAAAUUUAGGAAUUUUUUGAGUGUUGUCGACUUUGCAGCACUACCAUAUGCCCUUUGAGCAGCCUCUAAUUACCUUAUAUGUUUUCAGAUGUUUCCUUGUAAAGAGUCUUGGAUUCUUGCUAAUGGGUGCUCCUAAGCAAAAGUAUAUUUUCUUUGGCAGAUUCUAAGGGUGAACUUCAGUUGAUGAGCGGUUCAAUUCAGUCCAUAGACGUUUGGCACAGUCGUGGUGUUAGGAUCAAGAUGAUGGUGAAGGAAAAGAAGCCAAGGAUCCAUUAAAUUAGUACAACUCGUAAAGCUAUUAAUGAUUUGAAAAGGCUUUGUAAAAGAUAUAUUUCUUUUGUUAUGUUUUUUUAUAAGGUUUUAAGAAGUUGAUAGUAGACAUUAUCUAAUUGACUUAUUUGUGAUCGAACAGAAUAUUUUAGUGUGUAUUUAAUCAUUAGUUAAUUAAGACAGAUAUUAAUAUUAUUAUAUAUAUUAUUGGUCAUUUCUACUUAA